rnacentral:rRNA from 1 species
UACGGAGGGUGCAAACGUUGCUCGGAAUUAUUGGGCGUAAAGCGCACGUAGGCGGCCGAUUAAGUCGGGUGUGAAAGCCCUGGGCUCAACCCAGGAAGUGCACUCGAAACUGGACGGCUUGAAUAUGGAAGAGGGUCGCGGAAUUCCCGGUGUAGAGGUGAAAUUCGUAGAUAUCGGGAGGAACACCAGUGGCGAAGGCGGCUCACUGGUCCAUAACUGACGCUGAGGCACGAAAGCGUGGGGGAGCAAACAGG